rnacentral:rRNA from 1 species
GUGCCAGCCGCCGCGGUAAAACGUAGGAGCCAAGCGUUAUCCGAAUUUACUGGGCGUAAAGCGCGUGCAGGCGGUUCGAUAAGUUGGAUGUGAAAGCUCCUGGCUCAACUGGGAGAGGUCGUUCAAUACUGUCGGGCUUGAGGGUGGUAGAGGGAGGUGGAAUUCCCGGUGUAGUGGUGAAAUGCGUAGAUAUCGGGAGGAACACCAGUGGCGAAAGCGGCCUCCUGGACCAUUCCUGACGCUCAGACGCGAAAGCUAGGGGAGCAAACGGGAUUAGAUACCCCGGUAGUCC